rnacentral:rRNA from 1 species
GUCGAGCGCCCCGCAGGGGAGCGGCAGACGGGUGAGUAACGCGUGGGAAUCUACCUUUUGCUACGGAAUAACGCAGGGAAACUUGUGCUAAUACCGUAUGUGUCCUUCGGGAGAAAGAUUUAUCGGCAAGAGAUGAGCCCGCGUUGGAUUAGCUAGUUGGUGGGGUAAAGGCCUACCAAGGCGACGAUCCAUAGCUGGUCUGAGAGGAUGAUCAGCCACAUUGGGACUGAGACACGGCCCAAACUCCUACGGGAGGCAGCAGUGGGGAAUAUUGGACAAUGGGCGCAAGCCUGAUCCAGCCAUGCCGCGUGAGUGAUGAAGGCCCUAGGGUUGUAAAGCUCUUUCACCGGAGAAGAUAAUGACGGUAUCCGGAGAAGAAGCCCCGGCUAACUUCGUGCCAGCAGCCGCGGUAAUACGAAGGGGGCUAGCGUUGUUCGGAAUUACUGGGCGUAAAGCGCACGUAGGCGGAUCGAUCAGUCAGGGGUGAAAUCCCAGGGCUCAACCCUGGAACUGCCUUUGAUACUGUCGAUCUGGAGUAUGGAAGAGGUGAGUGGAAUUCCGAGUGUAGAGGUGAAAUUCGUAGAUAUUCGGAGGAACACCAGUGGCGAAGGCGGCUCACUGGUCCAUUACUGACGCU